GGCAGUGACAUCAACAAUGUCCCAAGCUCUGGAAGGCCCCUCUGGCCUCUCCUAGCCCUCGUAAAUUCAGUUUCUUUGGCAUUCCCUUCUUUCCCAAUCCCUCCACUCUACCCCUCCUUCAAUUUAAUUUGAGGCAUUUGUGAAAGGGAUAUUUUCUUCUCUCCAUCCCUGCUGCAGAGCACAGUACCUGGCAUUUAAAAUCAUAAAAUCUGCGGGGCUCCCCACGUGUGAGGGCAGAUGGGUCAGGAGAUACCAUGGACCCCGCCCCUGGGGAGGGGCCUGGCUGAUGCCUCCUUAGCUGGAGCUUGGAAUAGACUCACGGCCAGCAAAGUGAGUUCAAUGGCUGAGGGGACAUACUCUGCCCAGGGGACCUCAUAACCCCAUUCAGACUACUCUCCACCCCGCC
rnacentral:lncRNA from 1 species